rnacentral:rRNA from 1 species
AUUGAACGCUGGCGGCAUGCUUUACACAUGCAAGUCGAACGGCAGCACAGGGAGCUUGCUCCUGGGUGGCGAGUGGCGCACGGGUGAGUAAUACAUCGGAACGUGUCCUAUCGUGGGGGAUAACUGAGCGAAAGCUCGGCUAAUACCGCAUAAGACCUGAGGGUGAAAGUGGGGGAUCGAAAGACCUCAUGCGAUUGGAGCGGCCGAUGCCCGAUUAGCUAGUUGGUGAGGUAAAGGCUCACCAAGGCGACGAUCGGUAGCUGGUCUGAGAGGACGACCAGCCACACUGGGACUGAGACACGGGCCCAGACUCCUACGGGAGGCAGCAGUGGGGAAUUUUUGGACAAUGGGGGCAACCCUGAUGCAGCGACGCCGCGUGAAGGGAAGAAGUAUCUCGGGUAUGUAAACUUCUAUCAGCAGGGAAGAAAAUGAC